UAUGCUCUUUUAAUGCCUGUCAUAAAAUGUAUUCUGUCUUCUUUAUUAAUCAGAUGAGCGCCUUAUGUUUACAAUCUGUAUUACAUCGGUCAUCCGAGGCUGUCUUUGAGUUUCAUUGUGUUUAACUAAAUGAACACAGCUGCUAACUGGUUAAACUCUAUCGGUCACGUGACGUGCCGUGCCACAGACCUGGGAUCCGUUUUAUAUUCAUUUCAGGUUCAAAGAUGUAAGUUGUAUUUGUAGUAAAAUCAUGGUAACCAUGACACCUACAAUAGUAGGUAAAACCCAGUAAACAAGACAUUUACCAUGUUUUUUUUUUUGUUUUUUUUUACCACAGUAACUGUAGUUUUACUGUGGUAUAGUAAUAGCACAAUAAUCACCAAAAUAACUAUAGUUGUACCACUGUAAUGGUAGUGUUUUAAUGUGCUUUUAUAUGACAUAUUUCACAGUAAUCACAUUUACUGUACCAUGCUUGUAAUACCUUUUUAAUGUAAAUCAAAAAAAAAAAAAAAAAAAAACAUUUUUCCCAUCUUGCAGUUCAAUUCAUAUUGUUUUAUAUCUUAAAUAUUUUGCUCACAGAUCACUAUUAACAUUCUGUAUAUAAUUCUGUUUUAUUUUCUUUCCCCUUGUAUUAAUUUCUUAGCUGAAAAGGCGUAAAGGAAGCAGUCACCCCAGUGGUGCUUGUGGAGAGGUAUUCCUUCAGAAAUUGAGAAGACAGAAAGCUGCAGAGGCAGGAUUGUUUCCAGAUAACACUGUAGUUCUCCGUCAUGCACAAGGACUCACCCCCCCCCCCCCCCCCACACACACACAGAAAUGGUUCCUGGAUCAGUGACUCAAGACUUUGGAGUGGUUUGAUUUCUGCAGAAGAUGUAACUUUGUUUUAAUUAACCUUAUAAUGAAUACAUUGUGACCUUCCAGCAACCCAUAUACUGUACUGUAUACAGAACCAGUGAUGACAACAAUAGUUAAAAAAUAGCAUUUAUCAUAUUGAUAAAGCAUUGUGUUCUCUUUGUCAAGGUUCAUACAGUAAACUUUACUUCUGGUGCUUUUAUCAUAAAAAAGCAUCAGUUCUGAUCAGGAGUUUUAGUAAAGCACAUAUUCAUGCACAGCAAUCCCCUAGUUCCAGUCAUGAAGUGAAUGAUGUUAUUGUUAAAGUUAUAUUUCUGCAUUUUUAUGUAGCAGGUGUUUGUUUUCCUGAACACUUUAUCUUUCUUCCAUUGUUCGGACAAUCAGUGUUUAUCUGAUGCUGUGCUGAUUGAGUUUUAUAGAUGAUAUUGCACACUUGACAUGCAUGUCUUCAUGAUGUUAUUUUGUGGGUUUGAAACAUUUACAUUGUGUGUAUCACUUUUUGGUCAAUAGAAUCUUUUAAGAAAAUUUAUCUUUUUCCGGUGUUCUCUGAAAGACAUAUACCAUAUUUAUAAUGUUUUGUUUUUUAAUAAAAGAAUUUGAACACUGAAAAUUGUUAACGUUUACAACAUAACUGCCUUUUUAUUCUUCAUAGUUUUAUUCUUCAAAAACGAGCUUGGUGACAGUGCAGUAAUAUGCGCACUUUGUCUUUAAAUGAGUUUGACAUAUCAAUAAAUACUGGAAAAUUCUUAAAAAA